UAGUUCAAGGGACGGAGGGAUAGGCCAAAUAUUGUACCCCACUCUCCCUACCUAAGAUGGAAAACAUUUGUGGCAAAACAGCUCUUGCUCUCAAUGCAAUCUCUACCCCUUUCCCUAAAGUUUGAUCUCCAUUUCGGAAAGUCGUAUGAAUCGCACCAACCUGACAUGAAAUACAUGAUACGUAUCUACAAUUUAUGCAAAUAAAUGCGCGGAUAACAUGGAAGUGCCGCAACUAAAGCCGAAAAGGAGCCAUCGUCAGAGAGGCGAGUGAUGCAGAUCCAAUGGGAGAAAGUUAAUUCAAAACAGCAUGAAGCUAGAGCUGCUUGUUAGCCAGCAGAAUAAGUAGCCGGCAGUUUGGUCCAGUCUGUGAGCAUCUAUUGCAGUAGCGAGUGCACAAAGGAACUGUGAUUUUUCCUGACGCCACAGUAUGGGUCGCAGGAGUGCUGGAGGCCAUCCCAGCUAUUUUAAGGCAGGAGGUGCGGUACACUGAACUGGUUGCUAGCCAAUAGCAGGGGAGUUAUAAAACAACCGUUCGCACAUACAUUCACACCGACGGGAAAUUUUGAGUCUUCAAUUUAUCUAUGUUUUUGGGAUAUGAGAGGAAACGAGAAUGGCCAGAGAAAACCCACAAAGACACGGGGAGAACAUGCAAAGUCCACGUAGUUGGGGCCAGGAAUUGAGCCCCAUUCCGCAGAACUGCAAGGCAGAAGCUCUAAUCAGUCCUCCAUCAUGCCACCUAAAGCGGCUUGGUACUAUUACUCACACUAGUGCACACACCCUCCCCUCUGCACAUCUAUGUGUGCUCUCCAGAGUGCCCCAUCAGCACCAACGUGCCAUCUGUAGAAGCAAGACACAGAGCCGACCCGCUGGGUUUAUCUGUCAUUGAGCAGGCAGAGGACAGGCUUGGACGAAACUAAUUCAGAGCCUAUUACAGAUGACUUCAGACGAUAGAGAGACUACGCACUGUAGGGAUUGCCAGUCAACAGGUGACAGAAAACAAUCAUUUACAGUGCCACUCAGUGGGAACCAAACCCACAAUGUCCGCAUGGAAUCAGUACACCACCAGCGAAUCUUAAAUAUGAAUGUGCUUUUCUUAAAAUUAGAUUUAUCAAAAUGUGGUUUUAUAUGGUAUUAUAAUGUUUUUCUGUUUGGUAUGUGGUCUGAUAUUUUUUCAUUUACCUGUGGUGUUGAUUUAAUGAGAAAAUGAAUCAAAAAUCCAGCAAUGAGCAGCCACGACAGCUUCACCAAAAAUAGUCUUGUCGUCUCCUUCCAUCCAUCAGCGCCGUGGUUGACUGCUUCACUAUAAGCAAUUACUGCUCCAAAUGGGCCUAAUAACACUCAAAGGGAAGCAGUGCUCCAGCUCUGGGAGCAGCUACGCACUAUUUAUACAUCUUUUCUAAGGACACCUGACACGGCUCCAUCAGAGCUGUGGAGCUCCAGAAAAACUAUAAGAGCCUGUUUGUUAGCCAGCCUUUGGUUCAGGUGCUUGUCUUCCUCACUCUUAUUUAAUUGUGUCCAAGGUGGACAUGAACAUCCAUUGGGUGAGCCUUCAACACUCACAUCAGUAUCACUGGAAAUCUGGUUUUCAACAUGCUUAAAUUUUCACUGCAGAUUUCUAAUUCCAAUUCCAACUGAAUGGUGUAGUGACUAUGGCUACGUUGUCAUGGAAACUCCAAGAACUGAUAAACACUUGCAUUCCCACCUCCUGAAUCUCAAUCAGCCAGAUUGCUGUCAAAAGACACAGGCAACCUGGUUUAUAUCACCUGAAGCCGUAAAUCCUCAUGACUUGCACACCUGAUUGGGGAAGGAAGUAAUUGAUGACUGUUGAAAAAUAGAACAUGACCACCCCCAGUGGUGAUUAGAGACACUACGGACAUUAAAAUGACCAAGAGGCCCCCCGUUUAUGAUAAAGAGAAUAAAACUUGUCGAAUGAUCUAAAUAUUUAUCGUGAUGCCUGUGUGAUUGGGUUUUUACAGGUUGCCUUCUGAAUUUGCUUCUUCUGGAUUUGCCAUUGUGUUUGAUUUCAAACUGUAAAAAACAAGAAUACUUUGGUUUGCGCAUGUCAGAGAGUUAUGAAGAUGCCAUGAAACUUGAACCGUUUUCCCCAGCGUAGAUCUGUCGGCAGAGGCCCCUGGAAGCCACUCCUUACACUUCUAACAAUUUUGGUCGCACCUGAGACCAAGAGCAGGGCCCGCCGUAAAUUCAAAUGGCAGGAAAAGCUCAGAGCGCACACUAACGGAACAACAACUUUCUUUUUGCACAUCUUGUCCUUCAACUAAAGCUCCUUCAUUUCCCUCAUGUGACUCUCAGUGACAGACUAUCUACAGUUGUGAGUCGAGAAUGUCAGAAUGUUUAAAAAAAAAACAAAAAAAACAAGGCCUUUUAAUUUUGGGUCAAAACAGAACCUUUGCGCAAGUUCCAACUUUGUACAAGCUCAACACAGUUAACAUAUUCACGCACAUUUGUAGUCCACCCACACACAACAUAGUAUUUUUCUUUCCAUGAUCAAUAUUAUUAUUUUCUUUUUUCAUAAAAUCCCUAUGCGUUGUUUCCCUAAAGGUUUCCCUUUUGGAUUUACUGCAAUUCAAUUUUCUAUAAAAUUCCACUCUCAGUUGACUUUUUUCAUGUUUGAGUGGAACCAGAAAACUGCUGUAAUUGAGAACUCUCAUUUCAUAAAUGUAACAGCCUGUAAUGUAAUGCAAUGUUUUGUCACUCUUCCUAAAGUUAACAGAUAUAAGAGAUGUGGUACUGCCAGGUGUUAAAUUGUUUAUUUAUUUAAAACUGUGUUAUCAACAGUAUUAAUAAAAUGUCACACCAUGA